UGGGGAAUAUUGGGCAAUGGGCGAAAGCCUGACCCAGCAACGCCGCGUGAAGGAAGAAGGCCUUCGGUUGUAAACUUCUUUUAUCAGGGACGAAGGAAGUGACGGUACCUGAUGAAUAAGCCACGGCUAACUACGUGCCAGCAGCCGCGGUAAUACGUAGGUGGCAAGCGUUAUCCGGAUUUACUGGGUGUAAAGGGCGUGUAGCCGGGUCUGCAAGUCAGAUGUGAAAUCCAUGGGCUUAACCCAUGAACUGCAUUUGAAACUGUGGAUCUUGAGUGCUGGAGGGGCAAUCGGAAUUCCUAGUGUAGCGGUGAAAUGCGUAGAUAUUAGGAGGAACACCAGUGGCGAAGGCGGAUUGCUGGACAGUAACUGACGGUGAGGCGCGAAAGUGUGGGGAGC
rnacentral:rRNA from 1 species